UACGGAGGGUGCGAGCGUUGUCCGGAAUCACUGGGCGUAAAGGGCGCGUAGGCGGCUCAUGAAGGCUGUGGUGAAAGUCCGGGGCUCAACCUCGGAUCGGCCGUGGCGACUCGUGGGCUGGAGCACUGUAGAGGCGGGUGGAAUUCCCGGUGUAGCGGUGGAAUGCGUAGAGAUUCGGAAGAACACCAGUGGCGAAGGCGGCCCGCUGGGCAGUGGCUGACGCUGAGGCGCGACAGCGUGGGGAGCAAACAGG
rnacentral:rRNA from 1 species